UCCGGUUGAUCCUGCCGGAGGCCACUGCUAUGGGGGUCCGACUAAGCCAUGCGAGUCAUGGGGCGCGCUCUGCGCGCACCGGCGGACGGCUCAGUAACACGUCGGUAACCUACCCUCGGGAGGGGGAUAACCCCGGGAAACUGGGGCUAAUCCCCCAUAGGCCUGAGGUACUGGAAGGUCCUCAGGCCGAAAGGGUCUUUGACCGCCCGAGGAUGGGCCGGCGGCCGAUUAGGUAGUUGGUGGGGUAACGGCCCACCAAGCCGAAGAUCGGUACGGGCCAUGAGAGUGGGAGCCCGGAGAUGGACACUGAGACACGGGUCCAGGCCCUACGGGGCGCAGCAGGCGCGAAACCUCCGCAAUGCGGGCAACCGCGACGGGGGGACCCCCAGUGCCGUGGCAUAGCCACGGCUUUUCCGGAGUGUAAAAAGCUCCGGGAAUAAGGGCUGGGCAAGGCCGGUGGCAGCCGCCGCGGUAAUACCGGCGGCCCGAGUGGUGGCCGCUAUUAUUGGGCCUAAAGCGUCCGUAGCCGGGCCCGUAAGUCCCUGGCGAAAUCCCACGGCUCAACCGUGGGGCUUGCUGGGGAUACUGCGGGCCUUGGGACCGGGAGAGGCCGGGGGUACCCCUGGGGUAGGGGUGAAAUCCUAUAAUCCCAGGGGGACCGCCAGUGGCGAAGGCGCCCGGCUGGAACGGGUCCGACGGUGAGGGACGAAGGCCAGGGGAGCAAACCGGAUUAGAUACCCGGGUAGUCCUGGCUGUAAAGGAUGCGGGCUAGGUGUCGGGCGAGCUUCGAGCUCGCCCGGUGCCGGAGGGAAGCCGUUAAGCCCGCCGCCUGGGGAGUACGGCCGCAAGGCUGAAACUAAAGAAUGGCGG
rnacentral:rRNA from 1 species